UACGGAGGGUGCAAGCGUUAAUCGGAAUUACUGGGCGUAAAGCGCACGCAGGUGGCUGAGUCAGUCGAUUGUGAAAGCCCUGGGCUUAACCUAGGAAUUGCAGUCGAUACUACUCAGCUAGAGUAUGGGAGAGGGCAGUGGAAUUCCCGGUGUAGCGGUGAAAUGCGUAGAUAUCGGAAGGAACAUCAGUGGCGAAAGCGACUUCCUGGACCAAUACUGACGCUCAUGUGCGAAAGCGUGGGGAGCAAACAGG
rnacentral:rRNA from 1 species